rnacentral:rRNA from 1 species
UUUUCAGCCGCCGCGGUAAAACGUAGGAGACAAACGUUAUCCGGAGUUACUGGGCGUAAAGGGCGUGCAGGUGGUCAUUUAAGUUCGGCGUGAAAGCUUCUGGCUAAACCGGGAGAGGUCGUCGGAGACUGGAUGGCUAGAGGGUGAUAGAGGCGGGUGGAAUUCCGGGUGUAGUGGUGAAAUGCGUAGAGAUCCGGAGGAACACCAGUGGCGAAGGCGACCCGCUGGGUCACACCUGACACUGAGACGCGACAGCAUGGGGAGCAAACGGGAUUAGAUACCCCGGUAGUCC